GUCUUUGGACUGUGGGAGGAAGCCGGAGACCCACGCAGACACGGGGAGAACAUGCAAACUCCGCACAGAAGGGCCUCCCCGCCCAAGGUCCAAACCUUGCCCGAACCUGGAUUCGAGCCGGGGACCCUCUUGCUGUGAGGCGUCAUUUGUGCUUCUUUUUAGGUCAUUUUUUUUUAUUUUUUACAUUAUUUUUUUCAAAUAUUUAGGCCAUGUCUUCUUAACAUACUCAUUGCCUUCUACCUAUGUGUCAGACUAAUUUGUGUCAAAGGGUUAAAAUAAAAAGUCAUUCUACAAUUUUAUGGUUGCAUUUCCUUUUAAGACUGUGUAUUUAGUCUUGUCCUGGUCUAUUUUCAGUUUCCCUUACAUCUCGGCUAAUUCAACCACUCAUUAGAACAAGACAGUGCAACUCGUGGAUGGCUCCAUAAACACAAUGGGCUGGAUGACUCAUGUCUGUGCCCGUCUUUGUUUCCUGUUUGGUCCCUGCCGUGUCUCCUGAUCUGCCAGCGUCUCCCACUCCAUAGAUCCAGGUGAGAACUCCAAUUGGAACAGCUCCUGAAGUCAGAUUUCAAACUCGAAAAGUUGACGAAACCUCACCAACCCAAACCUCAAAACCCAAGAUGGCCGCUCUGUGUAUCAGCAGUAGUGAAAGCUGCGGAACAUUUUCAGAAAUUUGUGUGACUCUUCUCUCACCAACGUACAAGUGGAAGGGAAUGUCAAUGAAGGUCUUCAAAGGUUCCUCCCAUCACAGAUGUUAAGUUAUAUUUGGCCCAGGACACCUGCAGCGGGCUCAGCAGGAAGUUCUGGAGCCCCAGAAGCAGCCGCCUCCACAGCUUCUCUCGCCACUGUUCAAACGUCACAUACAUUCAUACCUUAAUUACACUUACACUAUGUUUAAUGUGCACAAAUUCUUAAAGCUGGCAAAGUUUGUAAUUUUUACAAUAUAACUUUUAGUUAGAUUUGCUGAAACUGGUAUUAUAGUAGUGCAGAGGGCAGAUAAUCUGUGAAAAACAUCAUGUUAUUCCUACUCCUCGUAGUGCUUCUAAUAGCAUUUGCAAUUA